ensembl:lncRNA
UAAAACAGAUUAAAGCGACGGUGCAGACAAGUAAAGAGGCCAAGCAGUGUGCAUUCUCUCUGGAUUUUAUUCUUUAGGAAGAGUUCUGUUUGGAAUUACAAAAUGCACUGGUAGAAAUAGCGGUGAGACUGGUUGAGAGUGCGACAGGUAAAGAGUGUUCGAGAGACAGAGUUAGAGAGAGAGAGAGAGAAAAGAGGGAGUGAGUGGGCGAUCAGAGGCCAAUCAGAAUCAGAACAUCAUGGGUUUGGCUCCGCAGCCUCUGACCCCCACACCAAGGAGAAGGGAGAAUACACCAUCGUCUGAACUGCACUUUCUUUUCUUAUUUUUUCAUGUUUUCAUUAAAAACAGUUCUUUUUUGUGGUGUCCUGAACAUGGUCGUGUUGUGCCUCAACCCCAUGUAAUAGAAGAAAACAAACAAGACUUUGACUGUCACCAAAGUCUCUUCUGUGUUUUUACUCUUUAGACAUUUUUUUUUUGUUUUUUCAACCUUUUUUGUUCUCAAAAAUAGAAGGAAAAAAGGAAACAUUGCUUUUUAAAAACAUCUAUCUAUUUAUAUAUCUUUUUUCUUUUUUAUUCCUCUGAAUUAAUUAAUCUGCUUUUUCUUUUUAUGUCCUGAAGAUGACUUUUAACCCACGGUGUGGCAUGCACAUAGCACAUGCAUUUCUGGAACUAGAUAUUUUUUCCUUUUUUUUAAAAUCUUUUGUACUUAAAAAACUCUUUUUUUUUUCUCCCAGUAGCGACUUUACAUUGCUUUUUGAAGAUUUUGUGUGGUUAAUCAGCGUGUUAGUGGAUUUUACUGCAGCAUAUACACAAAGAUGGAAGGUGAAUGUUUUUGGGGGGGGUGUUGCAUGUUUCAUCACACACACGCACGCACGCACGCACGCACGCACGCACGCACGCACGCACACACACAGAGUCGAAGAUCAUUACAGUAACAGGACCGAAACAUUUCGAGAUUUCCAAAGGAUUUCUGGAAACAAAGAAUAGAAACCAAAGCAGCACAAAAAACAAAAGAAAAAACACCUAAAUUUGUCCCACUCACUCGUGUAACACACAUUAAUGCAAAAACCCACUUACACACACCACACCCAGGAGCUACAUACCUAGUGUGCUUUCUGAUCUGAAGUGUAGUGACAUGAAAUAUACUCAUCUGUGACAUUCCACUGAGGUUGGAAAGACACUAAUAGGCAGUUUUUUUCCAUUUCUAUUUUUUUCAAUGCAUUCUCUGGUCAACAUGUGAUAGGCCUCCAGGUUGAAAUGCAGGUGAAAUAAAACGACAGUGUGUGGGCUGACAGUGGUGUGCGUUAGUGACAAGUGUUAGUUUGAGGCACACAGAUAGAAAUAAAAGUCAGGAGUGACACAUACACAGAAUAAAGGUGUUUUCCAGGACCGUGACGAGGCCCAGACAUCUUUUCUCCAACCCAUCUGAACCGUGCUACAAGUUUGAACACAGACGAGGUGGUCUACUGCUGAGAGAAUGAGCUGCUUUACUGGAGCAGCGACUCUGAAGGACGUCUCUGGAUCACAAGUGAAGUAAAGGGAGCGGUAGAAAAAACCAGAGGCACACUGCUUGUCAUACAGCGCCACCUGAAGGUCACUAGCGGUGGUGGAACUCUACGUUAGAACUGCAGCAGAGUGGAAGCCUGUAGGCCACUGCUUUGUUUCGGUCCAAUCCACCCACUGUCUGAAUUCCAGAGAGGGAUAAGACAGAUAUUUGCUGUCUUUGGUUAAAUUUGAAUUCAUGUUUUUCCCUCAUUCUCCCGUAAUGUAGCUGUGUGUUUGGAGCUCCACCCCAGGGUUGGAAAAAUUAUUAGCUGAGCUCACAAUAAAACAGAACAUACACAACCAAACCAGACAUGGAGAAUCUGUCUCAUUCCUACGAUCAUUUGAAGUUAUUAUAUUUAUCGGAUUACCCAUUAUUACGUUCAGUAACAAAGAAAACGAAGAUGAAGAGUUUCUCUCCUUUCUGUUGGUCUCUUUCUCUCUGAUGCCUCUGCUUUAACCCCCAAACCCUGGAAGACUUUGACAUGUGACGGAUUUGUCAUCACUUACUCACUCAGUAUUGACAUUUUUUUUCUCUUUUUUUUUAAAUCCACAUGUAUACCCUGCUUUCCAUUUUUAUCAUUUUAAACCUUGGUUACAAAAAGUUACUUCCACAAAAAAAUAUGUGCAAUUCCAUUUGUAUCGGUGGCAGGCAUUUGGCACAGAACAGACAGUAGACAAGCAAGCAAAAAGUAAUUUUCUUUGUUCCCUCUACAUACGGCAAUUAUCUGAUCUCCCCAUAACCGUCUGCUGAUUGAUUUUAAGU